UGCAUGAAAUGCUCGCUAAUCAGGAA
rnacentral:piRNA from 1 species